CUGACUGCUAUCGGAUUGAUACUAAGCCAUGUGAGUCAUUGUAGCAAUACAAGGCAGACGGCUCAGUAACACGUAGCCAAUCUAACCUAUGGACGGGGACAACCUCGGGAAACUGAGGAUAAACCCCGAUAGAUCAUAAUGCCUGGAACGGUUUAUGGUCCAAAUGAUUCGUCGCCGUAGGAUGAGACUGCGGCCUAUCAGCUUGUUGGUGAGGUAAUGGCCCACCAAGGCUAUUACAGGUACGGGCUCUGAGAGGAGAAGCCCGGAGAUGGGUACUGAGACACGGACCCAGGCCCUAUGGGGCGCAGCAGGCGAGAAACCUUUGCAAUGUGCGCAAGCACGGCAAGGUUAAUCCGAGUGUUUCCUGCUAAAGGAAUCUUUUGUUAGUCCUAAAAACACUAGUGAAUAAGGGGUGGGCAAGUUCUGGUGUCAGCCGCCGCGGUAAAACCAGCACCUCAAGUGGUCAGGAGGAUUAUUGGGCCUAAAGCAUCCGUAGCUUGCUCUGUAAGUUUCCGGUUAAAUCCAUUAGCUCAACUAACGGGCUGCCGGAAAAACUGCAAAGCUAGGAAGUGGGAGAGGUAGACGGUACUCGGUAGGAAGGGGUAAAAUCCUUUGAUCUAUUGAUGACCACCUGUGGCGAAGGCGGUCUACCAGAACACGUUCGACAGUGAGGGAUGAAAGCUGGGGGAGCAAACCGGAUUAGAUACCCGGGUAGUCCCAGCUGUAUACGAUGCAGGCUCGAUGAUGCACUGGCUUGUGGCCAGUGCAGUGUCGCAGGGAAGCCGUUAAGUUUACCGCCUGGGAAGUACGUACGCAAGUAUGAAACUUAAAGGAAUUGGCGGGGGAGCACCACAAGGGGUGAAGCCUGCGGUUCAAUUGGAUUCAACGCCGGGAGGACCAAAUUCCC
rnacentral:rRNA from 1 species